UGCACAUGCUUCUCUCCCACUAAGCAAGCAAUUCUGAUGCAUGAACUUGGUUGAACAGAUUAGGGACCAGUCCACGGCAUAUUGGAAUAGUUUUUAGUGCUAGGGCUACUCCUACUUUUGACAGAAUAAAGAAAACGAUUAGAAAACAAAUAAUUUUAUUUUUAGGAAAACAGACUGAUUUAAAUUGUCGGCAUGAGCGAGACAAAGUUUAGAACAUAAUACAUGUGUAUAGGGUAAAAAUAGACAUGAUACAUGGGUAAGUUAGAUUAGUGAAUCAAUAUUGGGGGUGAUCCAUCUCGAGUAAGUAAGAAAAAAGACAUAAGCUCAACACCGGAUCAAGGCUCAGACGCAUGGAGGGAGAGUCAUCAAAGGGAACUAGCCGUUAUGUAACUGAACCAGAAAUAACAUCAGACAUUACUCUUUUUACUCUGAUAUAUCAUUUAACUAAUCAUUUGAUGUGAGUCAAAAGAGAAAAAUUAUUGACCAUUAACUUUUAAGAAUUCAUUCCUGUAAAAGCAGUAGAAUCACCACGUUAUUCUCUGAUUGAAUACUUGAAUUUCUCUCUAGAAAUAUGUGUCCAUAGCAUUACUUGUUCAUCGGUGUUGAGCAUUUGUGAAGCUUGUACGAGGAUAUCUCCACCGAAUUUAUCAUGGGAAUCCGACAAGCACAUGCUAUAAUUGCUCAGUACUAUUGAUUUCAGUCAAUUUAUCUUAGCUUACUUCUUUUUUAAUACUUUUCUUGCUUAUUUAUAUUUCACAUCUCGACGGAUUCAGACCACAUGUCAGUUAAACCCCGCAUGUAAAUUUUGAUAUGCCUUUUUUUUUUGAUAAAUAAUUCGGUGCCCACUGGGGCUAAGGAUAACUGUGAUUUUGUCUUGAACUUAUUGAACUAAUACUAACCAACUUUGUCUUUGUGAAACUAAGCAACCGAUUGACUUAAUGACUGACAAUGAAAAUAUUGAUCAAACCAAUACCAACAACAACAUCAACCUCCUCUUGAAUAAUCCCUCAAACAACAAAGUCGAUCUGAUCAUUGGGCCGGGGAGACUCGAGUCACGAACAAGAAGGUGACUUCUCCACAUGGAUCUCAGCGCGGUCGUGUUCAAAAUGAUGAAAGCAGAGAUGACCAAGACAUAGUUAGAAUCAUUGAAUCUGAUUUGUCAAAAAUCUUUGCGAUAUUGAAAAACCAAAGGAAGAUAAUAACAAUUUUACUGAUGUGUCGCGUAUUUACGACACUUUCGACUCUCAAAAAGGUGAAUUAGUAAGGAUCACUGAAGUGAAUGUCCAUGAGUGCCACCACAGGCUGUGAAGCCUUAUACGACCCGUGGAAGCUGGCCGUUAAAAUGAUAUGCUGUAGAAAAGGAACUAAAGAAGUUUUGCUAAGUAAAAAUUCAUGAGACCCUUGACGGGCCGUGGAGUCUACCACCGAUCAUGGUAGGUGGUUGUGAAAGGCAUGCUGAAUAUUGUCUAUAAAAAUAAAGGAAGACACCAUGUACCCCAUCACGUGGCAUGUAGAGGACUAUGGAGCGUGAAGCUUGCUUGUGAAGGAGGAGAUGUCCACACAGUUGUGGAUCUAAGUCAAGUACCAUGGAUCAUGACCACAGGGCGUGAACAACACAAUGGGCCGUGAAAAGUGGACAUAAACAUGUGCCGACUUAAGUUUUCCUAGUUGGUUUAGGAUUUGAUUUUGUAUUCUAUAAAUACCCAAAUACGUUUUAUUUUUAGGGUUACGCAAUGUUAUAUAUUUUUGAGCUAUGAAUAUUGUGUGAAGCAUAGUUUCGAACUA